rnacentral:lncRNA from 1 species
AGUAAAGUGUUGACUUAGCGCAGAUCAUCAGCUCCCAAUUCUUUUCUAUCAAGGGGGGCAGGGUUAGAAACCCCCCCCCCCAAUCUUAUAAGAACUGGGAUCUGAUGAUCUGUGCUGUCAAGAGAGGUAGGGUUAGAACACCCCACUCCCCAUUCCCAUUGUUGAAAAUAAUUGACUUGGGAGGGUUUUUACUUCUAAGAUUAAAGCCGUGCAUUUUUGGAGCCUGGGCUGUCAGCUGUGGUGGCUGGGGAAUGCUGGGGCUGCGGUCAUCUGGCCGCUGGCAGCUCUGCUGGUGGGUCCUGUCUCUUUGACACCGUUCAUUUCUGAAGCUUGCUUUCCUCGGUGUUGGAAGUAGCAGCACUGGAGGAAUGGCCUCCUUCCUACAGCGAAGCUCUGCCAGGAGAGGAGAAGACACGGAGCGUCUAUUGAAGGAUGUGAUGUUUGGGGCACCGCACCAUGUGUUCUGCUUCUCAGCGGUGCCUCCUGGUUGAUGUUAGUAUCACCUGGCAUUGCCCAGGAGGUAACUUGCAGAUGCCACACUGAUGGAAAGCUGCAGCAGCGUGGUUCGAGUCCAGAGCCAGCUGGAGCUUAUCAGCAAGGUCAGGCUGGACACACAUGCUCCACCCAGUGGGUGGGUCUGUGGAGCUGGGGUGGCGUGAGAGCCAGAGAGUCCUGGUGGAACCCUGCCAGAUGACAGGAAAGGGGCCCAUGAGGAGAGGAACCAGUGGAUUCGAGACAGGAAGUGGAAGGAGCUCAGGAAGGAGUGAGCCGUCUCAGGGUGGGAGGCUCAGGAGCCAGCAGAUCUAUACAACCUGGCGUUUGGCCGUGGCUUCCAGGACAGGCUGGAUGCAGAGUGAAGUCCUCUCCUCACUGUCAAUGUUUGCAGAUGUCUUCUUGUAUAAACUUCGUAUUUCUUGAGACUUUCAAUUAGGUUUUUACUUAACUGGACUUUUAAAAUUGCCAUGCACAUAACUCUACCAGUUAGAAUCUUGAGCUAACAUGGGUUUUUGGUUUUUGGUUUUUGGUUUUACUUUGAUGAAUGUUUAACAUUUGCAUGCUGGAUGUGGGGGUGGAGGUCAUUUAUCUGCUUUUCAUUGCCUUCUUGGUUAUACUUAGUGACUUUCAGGUAAGGUGUGGAAGGCGUGGUACAGGGUGAAUUGCAGGCCGCACUGUGGCGCCGUGGAGGACAGGUGCGGGCUGCAGUGGUGUGCACAGUGGAUGAGAGACAAGAGAGACUUCCAUCCUUGAGGGA